UGUUCUCUGUCUCUCUUUCUGCUCAUUGUAUCCGGGGUUGCACUUCCCAGGUCGCACUGUGGCUGCUGCAUCCAUAGUGAGCCGGGAGCCCAGGUUGUGCCGCUGCUGCUCCCCAGCGGGGUGUAUGCGGGGAGAGACCUGCACUAACCGCCCUCGGUGCCCAGCCGGGGGUACUCUCUGCGGGGGCUGGAACCAGCCCCUGGGGCAGCCCCGGGCUCUGCCGCCACCAGCCCCUGAGCCGGAGCCUGCAGGGCCCAGCGCACCUCAUGCAGGAUUUGCAGUGACACCCAAGCAGUAUUUUCAAACCGGAGCAGGGUUGGUUAUUCUCCUGAACACAGCCCUGGAAGUCCUGAAGUUAGCACGGAGAAGCAAAGGAGCUGGUGACCUUUGAGGAGGCGGCUGUGUAUUCCACCGAGAGGCACAUCUCACCGCAGGGCCCCCUGCAGGUUCGCCAUGCAGGAGAACUACGAGAACGUGAUCUCGCUGGCGGAGGAGAUUGCGAUCAGCUGGCCCCGGAUAACUGCUUUUGCCGAGUCCCACAGGAGGAGAGGAUUGGUGUCCGGUAUAGAGAUGGAGUCAGAGCAGGGCCAGCUGGAGCCAGCCCAGGUGCAGAACUCAGCCACGGCUGGGCCCAGCGAAGGAGGGAUGACCCCUGACUUGCGUCGGCAGCUGGGUCUCAUCCUGCAGACCGCCGGCCGGAGCCAGGUGGAGAAGAUGCUGCGGGAGCUGGUGAGGGAGCAGAGCCAGGAGGGCAAGCGCAAGGCUCGCAAGAAAGCCACAAGGAGUCCCAAGGAUGGAGCAGGUGACGGGGCACCAAGUGACAAUGAGGAGGAGACUCCCCCACAGGAAGGCUCUGAGAAGGCGGAGUCACCUGAGGCCUUGCCAGGAAAAACCGAGGGCCCUGAUCAGGGUAAAGCCAGCGGGAGCCAGUGCCGGUCGGAAGGGCAGCCACCGCAGCAGAAGAGCCCCGCGCUGGGGAAGCAAGAGGGCAAAGCCACUCGCCGCGCCGGCCUCAAGAAGGGGAAAGAGCCCCCACUGUCGCAGCAGCAGCGGGGGGCAGGCGUCUGCACCGAGUGCGGGAAGGACUACGGCUGCGGGCGGGCAGCACAGCGGGUGCAGACGCCGGAGAAGCCGCACCAGUGCGGGGAGUGUGGGCGCUGCUUCCGCCAGCGCUCCAUCCUGGCCAAGCACCAGAAGAUCCACACGGGGGAGAAGCCCUACCGCUGCGACGAUUGCGGCAAGUGCUUUAGCCGCGGCUCCAACCUGACACAGCACCAGCGUAUCCACACCGGCGAGCGCCCCUUCCACUGCGGCGACUGCGGCAAGAGCUUCAUCCAGAAGUCGGACCUGGAGCGGCACCAGCGUGUCCACACCGGCGAGCGCCCCUACCAGUGCGGCCAGUGUGGCAAGUGCUUCAGUGUCAGUUCCCACCUGGACCGGCACCGGCGCACCCACCUGGGGGAACAGCGCCGCCACCAUGCCUGCGGAGGAAGCAAGGGCUGCAGCGGCGGCCCGUCAGCCCGGCACCGGGCCUGCCAGGCUGAGGAGGAAGAGGAGGAGGAGGCAGUGGCUGCCCACCAGUGUCCCGAGUGCGGGAAGUGCUUUGCCCAGCGGGCCUCACUCUCCAAGCACCGCAAGACCCAUAGCGGCGAGCGGCCCUACCAGUGUGGUGACUGUGGCAAGCGCUUCAGCCGCAGCUCCAACCUGACCCAGCACCAGCGCAUCCACACCGGCGAGCGCCCCUUCCAGUGUGGCGACUGCGGCAAGCGCUUCAUCCAGCGCUCCGACCUGGAGCGGCACCAGCGCGUCCAUACCGGCGAGCGGCCCUACACCUGCCCCGACUGCGGCAAGAGUUUCAGUGUCAGCUCCCACCUGGACCGGCACCAGAAGAUCCAUGCUGCUGAGCAGGCCUCCUACCGCUGCCCUGAGCACCUCAAGGGCUUCCUGGCCGCCCACCAGCAUGGCAAACUCUUCAAGUGCUCCGACUGUGGACGCUGCUUCAGCCAGAGCGCGGCACUGAUCAAACACCAGCGGGUGCAUGCCAGCGAGAGGCCCCACCAGUGCACGGACUGCGGGAAGAGCUAUGUGGCCUGCGGCGCUGGCCCCAAGGCCCAGGCAGCAGCUGGAGGGAAGCCCCACAAAUGCUCCGACUGCGGAAAGAGCCUGGGUGGCAUCUCACCCCCUGUGCUGCACCCCAGACUGCGCGCCCAGCAGUGCAUGGACUGCGGGAAGAGCCUGGCAGCGGGGAAGCCCCCACCACCACCGGCGGAGAAGCCAUUCAAGUGCACAGACUGCGGGAAGGGCUUCGGGCAGCGCUCGGCCCUGGUGAAACACCAGCGGAUCCACACGGGUGAGAAGCCCUACGCCUGCCCCGACUGUGGAAAGGGCUUCAUCCAGAAGUCGGACCUGACCAUCCACCGUCGCAUGCACACCGGGGAGAAGCCCUACCGCUGCCCUGAGUGCGGGAAGUGCUUCAGUGUCAGCUCCAACCUCAUCACCCACCAGCGCACCCACCUGGGCGAGAAGCCCUACCAGUGCUCUGAGUGCGGCAAGAGCUUCAUCCAGCGCUCGGAGCUCACCAUCCACCAGCGUGUGCAUACUGGCGAGAAACCCUACAAGUGCCCCGAGUGCGGGAAGUGCUUCAGCCGUAGCUCCCACCUCAACCGGCACCAGCGCACCCACGCCGGCGACAAGCCCUCACUGCUCUCCACCACCAAGAACUCCACCGCUGCCACCAGCAACCCCCUGCAGGCCUCCUCUGCCUUCUCCUCUGCCUCCUUCUCCUCCCCGCUGGGCACCUCCUCUGCCCCCCUCCCCGCUCUACCCUCUUUCCCUUCCUCCCCCUCCCCCAUCUCCAUCCCCGCCCUCUCCAGCAACCCGCUGGAUUUGCCCUGGGCCCUGUCCUUCCCAUCCCGUGGCUUCCCCCACCCUUCCUUCCCCUCGCCUGCUCCAUCCGGGGCCCCAGCCUCAUCACUGAUAAACUAACCGCCCCCCGCAGCUUCACUGUUCCCCCUCGCUCCCCCUAAUUCUUGCCUGCAUCCCUCCUUACUCCCCAUGAAUCUUGCCUCUUCCCCUCCAAUCUCCCACCUGGCACCACAUAAUCUCAACUCUCCCCCUCCUGGUACCCCAUGAAUCUCGCAUUUCUCUCCAACACUCCCAUUGUCCCCACUCCUCCCCUCCCCCAUCCCCACCAGCACUGCCAAGUCUCUUGCAGUUUCAUGGUGAGUCUCGUGAUAUUUGACGUUUUCCCUAAAGCCUCAGUUCCUGGAGUCAGGGGAUUUUCAUGAGACUCUCAGCUUUGAAAGUUUCUCGUCCUCCUGGUUGUAGAGAAAGGCAGGAAAACAUGAUCCCUGGCGACUCAGACACCAGAAGGCAAAUAAUCCCAAUGCUGAAUUUAGUAUUUUUAAGCCAACUUCCUGAUUGUUUUGGGGCCUGCAAAGGCGUGGGGUUGGUGAUACUGCAAUGGGGCCAUGGCUAUGGUCUUGUCUUUCUCCUUUCCCCAGUCCUUCUCUUCCUUCGGCAUUCACGCCAUCAACCUUCUCUCUCCUUACCAUCCUUUUGGCCUUUCCCCCAGGCACUUCUGGUUCCUCCACUUCUCCCUUCCAUGUCCCCAAUGCCUGUACCAGUGGCCCCUCCGAUUCUGCCGCACGACAUCCUUGUUCAGCCCUGCAGGGCUGGACCAGAUCCCCUCCCUGGCUUGUCACCAGCUUUGGCCCCUCUCUGGGCAAGGCGGUUGCUGAGCCCUCUCCAUCUCUGAUGCUCUCCGUCUUCACUCUGUGUGAUCCCCACAGGGAUCACGGUGCUGUUGUAAAAGGAAUCUUAGGAGGCCCAGGCCAGAAUGGAAAGGCAGAUAGGCCGAGACUGGAAGCAUCCUGUGCUGAGAGCAGCAGCAAAGUCCCAUGCUCCUCUGCACCUUAGGUUCCACGAUGACAGGAUGCUUUGAAGACAGAUACUUAGACCUGUUAAAUAGAAAGACAGGUGGAAAGACAUGGGAUAUCAAGAAGGAACUGCAUCGGGAGAGGUAUAGCCUACAUAACAGAGGCCUUUGUGCAACCUGAGACUCAACCUCAUUUGUGAACUAGAAGACCAAAAGAUUCAGACUCAUGAUCUUGUUCAGCAAUAAGGAUGGGGUAUUUUUUGGUGGGAGACCAGUGUGUGGUAUUGCAGCUGGAACUCGAAAUGUUACACAUGGAGUGAACCCGCAGGAACCAGAGAAGUUCCAGGAGGAAUGUUACAUUGACAAGGAGCAAGAUCUCAAGGGAUGGCAUUGUCAGGAAGAGCCACAGGGCUGUCGCAGUCAUGAGCAUAGAGACUGUUACAGCAGCUGUUGGUCUUUCACCUGAGGGUGAUGGUGAAAGAUGAAGAAUAACCUCCACAGCUUUAAACAGUUAUUCUGUAAACACACUGCUGAAGGAUGCCUGAUCUGGGGUGGGGUUGUUAUGUGCCUUCUAGGAAGUUUGUGAAUGGUGCAAAUUGAAAGAAGAAACAGGAGUUUUUCACCUGUCACCACUGUUUCUGGGGAAGCGCAUAAGGCUGAUGCUAGAACAAGCUCUUGUGCUACAAUGAGCGCUGUUCUGCUGGUGAUGGAAGCAUAGUGCAGAUGCUUCUGCCUGCUCAGUAAAGGGGCUGGUACAAAUUGUAUGCAGGGUUUCCAUGCCAGUGACUCUGAGAAGCCGUCAGAGGCGUCUCCCUAGAAAAACUGUGAGAUGUAUCUCUUCGUGGACAGUUUGAGGGCAUGUCACAGGGAUCUGAGAGUCUGAAAGCUGAACCAAUCGGAAAGGCCGAUGGGAUGGUAGAUUGGUAUCAUAUCUGCCAAGGGCUCCGUGGCACAGUCAGCCCUUGGAAACGCCGGCCAGUUUGCCUGCUGGUGCUUCCCUUUGGAAUGAUAAAUGCUCCAGUGACAUUUCAAAGGAUGGGCAACAAAGAGGCACCAGGUCUGAAUGGGAAUACAUUUGUCUGCAGCAAGAGGUGUGAGGUAUGCCCAAACCAUGAACCAACUCUGUCUACGAGGCUGCUACCUAGAGCAGCAGACCUGUUGCUGGGGUGCUAAAGUGGGCAAGGUGGGGGUGAGCCUGUUAGGGUGGGGUGUACUAAAGACUGGUACACUAUGAAGAAGGCUUUUUGGGAGCAGGGGGGUUACUGCUGCAGUACCAUUGGGAGCACCUGACACAGAACAGCAUGCGUUGAACCGCAUCCAGCCGAAGGCUGUACUGAGAGUAUCACUGGAAACAGAAUGGGGGUGGUUUCUGAAAUGAUUCCCUGAGUCUGCUCUUGCUGAAAUUAAUGGGAAGACUAGGAAGCUCGGUCAACGCCACUUGCCUUUGAAAAUGCCAGCCUCUAAGGCCACGCCCUAAAGGGUCAACCCACCCCUCAUCUUGGGUACUGCAGCCAACUGUCUUCUACGCACAGGAGAAAGGAUACGGCACAAAUAGAGAUGUGAUGCAGAAGAGCAAAGAAGAAUAUCAGGGUCUUGGAUAGAUUUAUAAAGGUCAGGACUUAGUGUAGAGGGGAGGUGGCAUGAUGGAGAGAAUGAACAGUACAGUGGGUGCUCCCCUUCAUGCCAUUCCCAUAACACAACCACUAUAGGGAGCACACGGUGGAAUUUAAAAGCCACCUAUUUAAAGAUGAUAAAAGAAAAAAAGUAGUUGCACCCAGUGUGUAAUUAACCUGUGGAACUCAUUCCCAUUGGUAUUACUGUGGCAAUGGGCUGAGUAGUAAGUGUUUCAUAAAAACUUUAGUCUUGAAUGGGCUACAUUUUCCAAAGUGGCUUAAGACGCCUUUGAAAGUGGCCUGGUUUUCAGAAAGGUGCUGAGCCCCCACUCUCUGAAAAGCAGUCCCCAGAAAGGGUCUCAAGUCAUGCUUCCAAAAAUGGAGGCAACCAAAAUCAAUAGUCACUUCAGAAAAGUCAGGCCUGCUGCAGGUAACAAGCUCUGCCAUUCCACGACCAAGGCGAAAAAUGUGGGCAUGUUAUAAUGCUCCUGCUACCGGGCAUGAACCAGUCACUGGCUGAUGGAGGUAAGGAACAAAAUUCCCCCUGGGGAAGGGAAUUGUAUAAAUGCACCUUCAUCUAAAGUUGCUGACAUUGGUCACUGUGAGAGACUGGGUACGGGACUAUGUGGAGCCUAAUCCAGUGUGGCAAUUCCUCCAUUUCUAGGGCAUGAGCAGGUUUUAACUCACUAAAGUGAAUGGCAGAGAUUGUGACACCUCUGUAGGCAACAUUACUGAAAUACCGUGUCAAGACCAAAAAGCCCUAUUCCCUAGUUAAACCUUUUCAGCAGAGCUGGUGUCAGGGUCCUUGUAGCAUUGCUAUUCCAAGAUAAUACAAUGACUUCGCACACCGAUGAGUUGCUGUGAAAAUGGGGCUGAAUGAUACUAAACAUAGGGUUGCCAACUCUCACAAGUUUAGUAUGAGUCUUGUGACAUUUGAUGUUUUCCUUUAAGCCCCAGCUCCUGGAGGCAUGUGAUUAGGGGUGAAUCUGAGCUUUCAUUUAAAACAGUUUCUAGCCUUUGUGGUUGAAGAGAAAAACUUGAAAAUUGGACCCGAAUGUGAACCGAAAGCAAAAUAAAAAUCCCUAAAUUGAUUAUUUUUUUAAACAGAAGCUCUUGAUUUUUUAAAUCAGUCUGAUGAUUUUUGGAGCUUGGCUCUUGAUUUUUUAACAUCUUGGGAUUGGCAGCGCUGUAAAUAUGUCCUGGGGCCAUAGGAAAUCUAAGCCAGUGGGGCCAUGGAAACAAAAACGGAGGGAUGAAAAUGGAUAGGCGGGUGACAAAGAUUUCUGGCCACGUGCACUGCCAAAGAAAUGCACUAUGCCCGUUCUCUCGAGGGGAACAAAGAGGCAGCUGAAGUGCGGUUCUAACUUGGGGACGUGAUUGCAAAAUUGUAUUGGGUUUGUUGUCUCUCAGUGACUCCUCAAUGGAGAAGUCGAAAGAUCCUGCUUUGAAAUGCCAGCCCCGCAAACUCAGCUUGGGAACUGAGUGUGGAGCUGGGCUCUUUUUGUAUCGUCAACACUGACAGUGAGUCUGCAACUGGACUCAGUUCUGGAGAUGACGCACAAGCCAGAUGAGAAGUAUGGGAGAGGGGUGGGCUGGAGGGGACUGAGCACAGGGCUGAGCCUGGGGAAGCCCUAGUUUCCAAUCCUCACUCUGCUGGAAAUCUCUGUCUCAGGUGGGGUUAGUCAUUGUUGCCCUCUUGUGCCUCAGUUUCCCCAUCUGUAACAUGGGGGGGAUAACAGUGCUACCCACUCACCUUGCAUUGGGGCUGUGAGGGUGAAUUGCAUAACAUCUGCCCUGCACUUUGAGCCUGUAAAUCGCUAUAUCCCUUCGUCGUGUUAUCAGGAGUAUAAAGUGGGGAAAAAGUAAAGACAUACAUGGGGAAUAGGAUGAUGCAGUAAGAAGAGGCCUGUUUAAACUCUGUCUAAUCCUUUUGUCAUUGUAGCAUCUCACACGCCCCUGUGAGGUAGGUAAAUGCUAACAUGCCCAUGUUACAGAUGGAGAACAGAGGCACAGAGACGCUAGGGCACAGACCACACUACAUACAUCUCUCUAGUAUCCCACUGAGUCCCCACCACCCCGUGGAGACGCAGCUGUUUUCCUGGUAUAGUUAAACCACUUCCCCGAAUGACAUAAGCUAUGCCAACAAAAGGGCUCAUUGGCCAGGGUAAGCUGUAGCUACAUGGGGGUUUUGCCGGCACAUGAUUUUGUUUCUCUCCCAACUGACAAAGCUUUGCUGGAAAAAUUGGUAGCAUAGCCCAGGCCUAAGUGAUUUUCCCAAGAUCAUGCAGAAAGGUGGUGGUAGAGAAGGGACCUGAACCAAGAGCUGGGGAGUCCCAAGUCAGUGAUCUAACCACUGGGCCAUCCUUGCUCCCUGAAAAGCUGCUCUUGAGAGCAAUACUGCACUUAAUGGUUCGUCUGGGCAUCAUCUUUGCUGAAGGCUGAAGGACUGGCCCAGCAGAGGGUUUGUCUAUGGGGGAGGGGAAAUGACCAGCAUAGCUGUAGUGCUAUAACUAUUGUACAAUAGCUUUUCUAGAAUAACUUUCCAGUGUGGACACACUAUUGGGAAAUAAAAAGUGACUUUACUCUGGAGUCAGGACUCCAUGUAAUUAUUCUGAAAUUAUUCCACCUGGGGGAGUUAGGAUGGAAUAGCUAAACUAGACCAGAGUGGAAUAGCCAUGCCAGGAAAUCUCUCCCAUGUCAACAUGGUCUCAGUAUUCGCCCUAAAUGCUCUCAUGUGCCCCUCCUGGACAGCAGAGGCAGGCCGGGUUGUGUAUUUACCUGGGAACAACCUAUCUCCAGGACUAGGAUCCUAGAUGCGGAGCUGGUUGAUGGUUAUAGAAGCAAACGAGUUUCAUUUUGAUAGUCCUGUAUUUUACUUACAUGUCGGCCCUUUGGAGUGUUUUUAUGAGUGUUGCUGUUUGUUUUCUGAGCCUGUUUCCAUUUUGCUCUGCUUUUGUAUCCUCUGUAAAUAGCCCAAGCGGUAGCGUUAGAGCCUGUAAAUAAAUAAACUUGACCUUUUUAUCUGUUUGUC